rnacentral:tRNA from 1 species
GUCCUUGUAGCGCAAUGGAUAGCACGUUGGACUUCUAAUCCAAAGGUCUUGGGUUCGAAUCCCACCUGGGAUG